AGCAGCCGCGGUAAUUCCAGCUCCAAUAGCGUAUAUUAAAGUUGUUGCAGUUAAAAAGCUCGUAGUUGAAUUUCGGGAUCAAUAUGUCGGUCGUGCCAUUGGUACGUACUGGUAUCAUUGAUUUCUCCUUUCUGACGAACCAUGAUGUCAUUAAUUUGGUGUUAUGGGGAGUUAGGACUGUUACUUUGAAAAAAUUAGAGUGUUUAAAGCAGGCAUUAGCUUGAAUACAUUAGCAUGGAAUAAUGAAAUAGGACGUUUGACCCUAUUUUGUUGGUUUCUAGGAUCGACGUAAUGAUUAAUAGGGAUAGUUGGGGGCAUUAGUAUUCAAUUGUCAGAGGUGAAAUUCUUGGAUUUAUUGAAGACUAACUACUGCGAAAGCAUUUGCCAAGGAUGUUUUCAUUAAUCAAGAACGAAAGUUAGGGGAUCGAAGACGAUCAGAUACCGUCGUAG
rnacentral:rRNA from 1 species